GCUUGCUUCGGCAAUGAAUACACUCAAGUCGGAAUGAUACAGAGAAGAUUAACAUGGUCCCUGAGCAAGGAUGACACGCACAUUUGUGAAGCGUUCCAUGUUAAA
ensembl:snRNA U6 U6 spliceosomal RNA